rnacentral:rRNA from 1 species
AUACGUAGGGGGCAAGCGUUAUCCGGAUUUACUGGGUGUAAAGGGAGCGUAGACGGUUUGGCAAGUCUGAUGUGAAAGCCCGGGGCUCAACCGCGGGACUGCAUUGGAAACUGUCAGACUUGAGUGCAGGGGAGGUAAGUGGAAUUCCUAGUGUAGCGGUGAAAUGCGUAGAUAUUAGGAGGAACACCGGUGGCGAAGGCGGCUUGCUGGACUGUAACGGACUUUGAGGCUCGAAAGCGUGGGGAGCAAACAGGAUUGGAUACCCUGGUAGUCCACGCCGGAAACGAUGAAUACUAGGUGUUGGGAGACAAUAGUUUCUCGGUGCCGCAGCAAACGCAAUAAGUAUUCCACCUGGGGAGUACGUUCGCAAGAAUGAAACUCAAAGGAAUUGACGGGG